rnacentral:rRNA from 1 species
UGCCAGCAGCCGCGGUAAUACGUAGGGGGCGAGCGUUGUCCGGAUCUAUUGGGCGUAAAGGGUGCGUAGGUGGCACGCUAAGUCCGAAGUAAAAGGCAAUAGCUCAACUAUUGUAGGCUUUGGAAACUGGCGAGCUAGAGUGCAGAAGAGGGCGAUGGAAUUCCAUGUGUAGCGGUAAAAUGCGUAGAUAUAUGGAGGAACACCAGUGGCGAAGGCGGUCGCCUGGUCUGUAACUGACACUGAGGCACGAAAGCGUGGGGAGCAAAUAGGAUUAGAUA